GAUCCCUGCUGGUCUGACCUAAUAUUCCUGCCUCCUUGUGGUUCUUGGUAUGCCAGCUGGCAAACUAGCUGGUUGUGCUUUGUGCAUAAUGUCUGUGGACAUUACUGGGCAGUGCACUUAGCUAACAUACUUCGCUAUGUUUCAGACGUAUAGCAUCUCAACAAAAGAUAGAAGAUGCCGGUGUUGAGGAAAGGUGACUGUUUUCAUUCCUUUAAUGAGCUAGAUGCCCAUAUCCGUGAAUUGGAGGCCGAGACGAAUGUGAAGUUUUUCAAGUCGUGCUCUGUCACUCUUGGUAAAUUUCUUCAGACAAAUCCUGGGCACUUUAUUUCAAAGUUGAUCGCUGACCGUGCUGACAAGGAGGCGCUUUUGCAGCAGAAAAAGUACCGUCUCGUUAAAUUUUCAUGCACUCAUGGUGGGCGCCAGUACGAAAGCAAAGCUGGUGAUCGUCGUGUCCGAAACACGAGAACCAAAAAAGUCGGCUGUCCCGUAAGCAUCCUAGUGUUUCUGGAAAAGUCAUUGCGUUUGGAGAUUAGGGACAUCUCACUGGAGCAUUCCCACUCGGUGUCGAAGGCAAGCUUUCUGCUGCAGCCAGAAAAUCGUCGCCUGCCUGCGUCCUAAAGGCAGCGUCACCACAGUCGUGGGAUCAGCAAAGAAAUAAGAGUACUAAACAGCAGCGGUGGAUGGUGGGAGCGCUGGAUUACACCGUCCACGUACCCGGCUUUAAACCCGCCAUCAUCAUGCACCGCGUGGUCACGGUGUUCCAUGAAUUUGACAUAGCUUCGUUCAUCGGAAACGCCUUGACUUCCCGGAUACCUAUAGAGCUCUUAGGCUUCUUCUAUUGUAGAGAACAGGCUCGAUAUCUAUAUUCGUUUGCAUGUCAUGAUGUGAAUAGCUAGUUUGCCAAGGUACAUCUUCAUGUACAUAUAUGAGUAUUGCAAGCCCAUCCAGAGACUCUGAAAGGCUGAAAGCGUUUCCGACUAUCUGUGUUGAUUGUUUCCAAACUGGAUAAGCUUUGUUAAAUAUCACCGCUCACCAAGCAAUGGUUGCUUACGUCCAACCUGCUGCGUCCCUGGAUGUCCUUGCACUAUCUCCUCACUAGUCGAGAUGAACGUUGAGCGAGCUUAGAUCUGUCGUGUACCUGAACUAAGUAGCAGAAGUGAACUAAGUAGCCUCGUCAACUGUCUGAUGCGUUCUUCGUCGACAGUUCCACAUAUGCGAGAACUGAGUGGGUAGUUAUACACUUCCCCAUGCGAGGAAGACGCAUACAAAAGUAUGUACAAGUUUGUUUUGUGCUAGUUUAACCAGUGACCGCUAGGGAGAAUGUGUUUUUAAAAAUACCAACAUGAGAGUAUUGCUUUGGCUACUCAUUCAAUGUGUCGGGCCGCUGUUAUAUAACUGCUUAGUGCGCUCAACAAUUCUCAGCCAUGGUUGUUAUU